UCUUUCAAGCCCAACCACAUCUCCAUCCAAGCUUUGAGGAGAGAGAAACAAGGAGGAGAAUCUAGAGUUGGCAGUAAUCCAAGGGAGCUCCUCAUGUCUCGGUUUGGGCUUCAAAUGGUCCUCUUGGACUUCAAGCUCCUUCCAAGUGUCUUCAACUGCAAUCUAGAACUCCAUUAGGUCAUCUUGUAUACUCUUCUUACAUAGUAUAGCCUUUGAUGGACUCUUUUGCUUCUAGGGUUCCAAGAGAGACUUAAAGAAUGAAACUAGGAUGCUUGAUUGACUCUCAAACCCUUGUACAAGCUCUGGUACCAAGUUAAAAAUAAGGAGUAGGGUUAGAGAUGAAGGAAGAAGAGAGGAAGGAAGAAGAAGGAGAGAAGAUGAGAGAAGGAGAAGGGGAAAUGAGAGCAAAAUGUGGGGAGCAUUUCUUGUUCUUUCCACUUAUAUUAAGUUCAACUAGAACUUUAGGGAAAUUAUAUCAAAUCUCCCUAGGGAGGUACAAGGGAAAAAAUAAAACACAGGUUAGGACAACAUAAUAUAAAAACAAUUCCUAAACUAGCCCCAUUACAUAAACUCCAACAGAAAUUGCAACUCUCUAUUAAGGCUAUAUAUCACCCUAAAACUUACCUUUGCCAGCAGUUGAUGCAUCCUCAGGGGGCCGAAGUAAUUCGCAGCGAUAGACAGUAGCUCACUCACAAGGAUGGAGCACAAUCUCAGGGAAGAAGGUGUAGUUUCCACCCUCACUAGCAGGGAUGGAGCUCAGUUGCUGUAAUGGAGCACAUUCGCAAGGAAGAAAGAUUAGGGUAUGGAUGGAGCUUGAUCACUGGGAUGUGAGUUUGGUCCUUUGUUCUCCACGGUGAAGGGUUAGGGUACAUUGGGUUUGGGUUUUAGUUUUUUUUUUUUUUUUAAGUGUUUUAGGCAAAAAGUAGUCUAUUCAAAUCCGCACUUAAUAGAGACUGGCGGUAGGGGGUCCGGUUCUAAUUGUUAGUAAUGUAAGGGUGGAACUAAUGUGCAGAGCCUACACCCAGCUGCAGACUAUCAUGCAACUGCUUGAGGCAUUGGUGGUUGUGCAAUCUGUCAGGUACUGUCAAAACUCAACUCAUGCCUAACACCCAAAAUGCCAUAAAUUAAGCUUUUUAAUUAGCUUUUGUUUUGUUUAAAUGUCGUUGUCAAAUUGUUUCACUCUUUUAUUCUGGAGCUCUAAGUUAAUUGAGUCUUACAGGAGGAUUUUGGUUAUUUUGCCUCAACCAGUGAUAAGCCAGGUAACCACAACUUUGAGCUCUUGAAGAAGCUGUUCCUCCCUAACAAAUCUGUACUGCCUGUCCAACUUCCUGCCCAGACCACAUGCAACUGUCUUUUGUGGACUCUGCUAGGGAUGGAACCAUGUAUACUGCUCCAUUCCCAACUUGUGCCUUCUGAACAAGGAAAUGACUAACAAAGUAAUCAUAGUAACUUCUUCAAGACUCGGAACUAGAGAAUGAUAUGCUCAAACAUUUGAGUUGAAAAUGUAAUUUGCAGUAUGCUCAAAGAAUGGAACACAAACAAAUGCCGUGCCAUGGUGGAUGUGUUCAACUGCCAAGGUGUCGGAUGGUGCAAGAUGGCCAAGGAGCUACCCUUUCUCAAUGCAUCCUGUGGCACUCUAUGGCUCUGUCUGGCUGCUGAUGUUAAGUAAUGGCUCAAGUUGCUGGACCCGGUUGGAAUGGUGAACCAUUGUCUAUGCCAAUAAACCAGGGAAGUUGGUUCGGCUACCAAAAGGUGUCUCACUACCUGUAACCCUCAAAGUCCUGGAGUAUAAACUCUUCCCCUUAUGUCCUUUCGAGGUCGAAUCUUAAUGAUAGUCCUUGAAAAUUUUUAUCUCCAUCCAUGUCAAUCACAUCCAGCAUCUUUAUUGCACCUAGGCCUACUCGACAUGUUCAACUCUAGUGGAUCUGUGGAGCAUUAUGAAGUUCAGAAGUCUACUAACAAGAAACCAGUAACUGUUUGUUAUUGAAGUUGCAUCCAAGCAUCCAAGGAUCCAAGUUUGCUCAGUGAGAAUAGUUCACCAACUGCAACCAUAGUCCCCAAAGUCAGGGUAUGUGGCCGGUUUGAUACCUUCUUGUCAGAGUCCACUGAAGUGCACUGUGGGUACCUAGGAACCGAAUUCAACUACGACCCUGACUUUGACUGUCCUGGCCUCUAAAGGAAGAGAAUGUACAGAUGGCCUGUUGAAACUCUCAAGUAUAUGAGAUUUGGUGGCUGAAGAAAAUGUCACCAUUGUUGGGAGGGUUUAGGGGUUGGAGAGAGAGAGCCUGUAUGGGCACUGGGUCUAUUGGGCAACAAGAUAUAUUUGUUGAGAGUGAAGAUGUAUGGCAUCUGCCAUGCAUCACUGAUAUGCUACGUAUGCAAAGAGAGUUGAGGGGUAAACUCUUUCUUUAGGGGCAAAGAGAGUCAGAGCAAUAUUAUUACUAUUGUUUGAUCUUAUCCAGAUUCCACAGCCCCCUUUCAUCUCGAUGGAGCCUCUUUAAUGCUUAUAAUGUUGGCUGAUCUCAUGGAAUUGGUUCCUAUUU